rnacentral:piRNA from 1 species
UGAUAAAGCUUAUUCAGUGUUGGUUCAUUG